rnacentral:rRNA from 1 species
AUACGUAGGUCCCAAGCGUUGCGCGAUCUCACUGGGCGUAAAGCGUCCCCAGCCGGUCCGGUAAGCGGAUUGUCAAAACCCGCGGCUCAACCGCGGUAGGGCAACCCGAACUGCCGGACUUGAGGCAAGCCCAGGCAGGCGGAAUUCCCGGUGUAGCGGUGAAAUGCGUAGAUAUCAGGAGGAACACCAAAGGGGAGGCCAGCCUGCUGGGGCUGCCCUGACGGUCACGGACGAAAGCUGGGGGAGCAAACCGGAUUAGAAACCCUAGUAGUCC